rnacentral:rRNA from 1 species
UUAAGUGAAUAAGGGCGCACGGUGGAUGCCUUGGCACUAGGAGCCGAUGAAGGACGGGACUAACACCGAUAUGCUUUGGGGAGCUGUACGUAAGCUAUGAUCCAGAGAUUUCCGAAUGGGGGAACCCAGCAUCUUUAAUAGGAUGUUACGAUUGUGUGAAUACAUAGCACAUUCGAGGUAGACGCAGAGAACUGAAACAUCUAAGUACCUGCAGGAAGAGAAAGAAAAUUCGAUUCCCUGAGUAGCGGCGAGCGAAACGGGAAAAGCCCAAACCAACAAGCUUGCUUGUUGGGGUUGUAGGACUCCAAUAUGGUCGUUCUUUCAGAUAGUCGAAUGACUUGGAAAAGUCAGUCAAAGAGGGUAAAAACCCCGUAGACGAAAUGUGGAAGACACCUAGGAGGAUCCUGAGUACGGCGGAACACGAGAAAUUCCGUCGGAAUCCGGGAGGACCAUCUCCCAAGGCUAAAUACUCCCUAGUGACCGAUAGUGAACCAGUACCGUGAGGGAAAGGUGAAAAGCACCCCGGAAGGGGAGUGAAAUAGAACCUGAAACCGUGUGCCUACAACAAGUCAAAGCCCGUUAAUGGGUGAUGGCGUGCCUUUUGUAGAAUGAACCGGCGAGUUACGAUUGCAUGCGAGGUUAAGUUGAAGAGACGGAGCCGCAGCGAAAGCGAGUCUGAAUAGGGCGUUUGAGUAUGUAGUCGUAGACCCGAAACCAUGUGAUCUACCCAUGUCCAGGUUGAAGGUGCGGUAAAACGCACUGGAGGACCGAACCCACGUACGUUGAAAAGUGCGGGGAUGAGGUGUGGGUAGCGGAGAAAUUCCAAACGAACUUGGAGAUAGCUGGUUCUCUCCGAAAUAGCUUUAGGGCUAGCCUCGGAAUUGAGAAUGAUGGAGGUAGAGCACUGUUUGGACUAGGGGCCCAUCUCGGGUUACCGAAUUCAGAUAAACUCCGAAUGCCAUUCAUUCAUAUCCGGGAGUCAGACUGUGAGUGAUAAGAUCCAUAGUCGAAAGGGAAACAGCCCAGACCACCAGCUAAGGUCCCAAAAUAUAUGUUAAGUGGAAAAGGAUGUGGGGUUGCACAGACAACUAGGAUGUUGGCUUAGAAGCAGCCACCAUUUAAAGAGUGCGUAAUAGCUCACUAGUCGAGUGACCCUGCGCCGAAAAUGUACCGGGGCUAAACAUAUUACCGAAGCUGUGGAGUACACCUUUAGGUGUAUUGGUAGGAGAGCGUUCUAAGGGCGUCGAAGGCAGAUCGUGAGGACUGCUGGAGCGCUUAGAAGUGAGAAUGCCGGUAUGAGUAGCGAAAGACAGGUGAGAAUCCUGUCCACCGAAUGACUAAGGUUUCCUGGGGAAGGCUCGUCCGCCCAGGGUUAGUCGGGACCUAAGCCGAGGCCGAUAGGCGUAGGCGAUGGAUAACAGGUUGAUAUUCCUGUACCCGUUGUUUUUGUUUGAGCAAUGGAGGGACGCAGGAGGCUAAGGAAUGCAGACGAUCGGAAAUGUCUGUCCAAGCAGUAAGUCUGAAGAGGAGUCAAAUGCUUCUUUUCUUAAGGACAAGCUGUGAUGGGGAGGGAAAUAAUAGUACCGAAGUUCCUGAUGUCACACUGCCGAGAAAAGCUUCUAGUGAGAAAACAGCGGCCCGUACCGCAAACCGACACAGGUAGUCGAGGAGAGAAUCCUAAGGUGAGCGAGAGAACUCUCGUUAAGGAACUCGGCAAAAUGACCCCGUAACUUCGGGAGAAGGGGUGCUGAUCAUACGAUCAGCCGCAGUGAAUAGGCCCAAGCGACUGUUUAUCAAAAACACAGGUCUCUGCAAAAUCGUAAGAUGAAGUAUAGGGGCUGACGCCUGCCCGGUGCUGGAAGGUUAAGAGGAGUGCUUAGCGCAAGCGAAGGUACGAAUUGAAGCCCCAGUAAACGGCGGCCGUAACUAUAACGGUCCUAAGGUAGCGAAAUUCCUUGUCGGGUAAGUUCCGACCCGCACGAAAGGCGUAACGAUUUGGGCACUGUCUCAACGAGAGACUCGGUGAAAUUUUAGUACCUGUGAAGAUGCAGGUUACCCGCGACAGGACGGAAAGACCCCAUGGAGCUUUACUGUAGUUUGAUAUUGAGUGUCUGUACCGCAUGUACAGGAUAGGUAGGAGCCGUAGAAAUCGGAACGCUAGUUUCGAUGGAGGCGCUGGUGGGAUACUACCCCUGCGUUAUGGCCACUCUAACCCGCACCACUAAUCGUGGUGGGAGACAGUGUCAGAUGGGCAGUUUGACUGGGGCGGUCGCUUGACUGCGAGACCAACAAGUCGAGCAGGGACGAAAGUCGGGCUUAGUGAUCCGGUGGUUCCGCAUGGAAGGGCCAUCGCUCAACGGAUAAAAGCUACCCUGGGGAUAACAGGCUUAUCUCCCCCAAGAGUCCACAUCGACGGGGAGGUUUGGCACCUCGAUGUCGGCUCGUCGCAUCCUGGGGCUGUAGUCGGUCCCAAGGGUUGGGCUGUUCGCCCAUUAAAGCGGCACGCGAGCUGGGUUCAGAACGUCGUGAGACAGUUCGGUCCCUAUCCGUCGCGGGCGUUGGAAAUUUGAGAGGAGCUGUCCUUAGUACGAGAGGACCGGGAUGGACUUACCGCUGGUGUACCAGUUGUUCUGCCAAGGGCAUUGCUGGGUAGCUAUGUAGGGAAGGGAUAAACGCUGAAAGCAUCUAAGUGUGAAGCCCACCUCAAGAUGAGAUUUCCCAUUUCUUUAAGAAAGUAAGAUCCCUGAGAGAUGAUCAGGUAGAUAGGUCAGGAGUGGAAGUACAGUGAUGUAUGGAGCGGACUGAUACUAAUCGAUCGAGGACUUAACCAA